rnacentral:rRNA from 1 species
UACGUAGGGGGCAAGCGUUGUCCGGAUUUAUUGGGCGUAAAGAGCGUGUAGGCGGUCAGGUAGGUCCGUUGUGAAAACUAGAGGCUUAACCUCUAGACGUCGAUGGAAACUGUUUGGCUAGAGUCCGGAAGAGGAGAAUGGAAUUCCUGGUGUAGCGGUGAAAUGCGCAGAUAUCAGGAAGAACACCCGUGGCUAAGGCGGUUCUCUAGUACGGUACUGACGCUGAGACGCGAAAGCGUGGGGAGCGAACAGG